ensembl:lncRNA
AGUGAUGUCUGCCCGGGGGUGGGCGAGGAGAGUGACGGCAAGUGUGCCGUGUCUUUGCCGUUUAUGAACUGGUUGCAUUUGAAGGCCCCUCUGGCUCUGAUGGCUCAUGAACCAGUGAUUCUAAGCAAUUGGAAGGCUCCACCAUGUGUUUGGAUUUAACAAGGGCCAUAGCCAAGGAGAGAAGUGAAAGACGGUGGGGACAUCAAGGCCAGCUGGUUUCUGACUGGUGUAUCCAUUCUCCCGGGGAUGGAAACCACCUGCUUCUGCCUGCCUUCCCGGUUCACUUAGGUGGGAAUGCUCUCUGGCCCUAGUGUGACUCAGUCUGACCGGUAAGAUCGUUGGAUUUGCUUGGUGUGUGUAUGUGCUGAAAUGACGUGAAAUGAGGCUUUUGCUGGAACCGCUGUUAGAGAGAGGCAGCAUUCUUCCCACUGACUCCGAACCUGGGAGGUUGCAGCUCGGGGCUUCCUGCCACGAUGGGUUGCCUGAGAAUGAGGCCAAUACGAAGGAGCACAAAGUCGAGAUGACAAGAGGCUGCGUGAUAGAGACAUCUUCGUAGCCCCUGGAUCCAGCCCUGCCUGAUGUGGAUUCUUGGAUUGUUUUGCUUACAAGAGCCGGAAUCUUCAUGUCAGGACUUUCAUGAAUGACUCUGGAACAGCACAGGAUAAGAAGUUAAUCCACGUGCGACAUUUUCCCGUGAACAGCUCAGCAGACUGGUGGCACGGAGUGAGCGUCUGACGAGUGACUGCUGCUGCUAUCACCGGUGUCGUUACUAUCACCACCGUUGAGCUGCGUGCUGGGCUCAGUCGUGUCUGACAC